AUGUAUACAAUAUUCUGUCUGUACGCCUGCACCAGAAGAGGGCACCAGACCCCAUUACAGAUGGUUGUGAGCCACCAUGUGGUUGCCGGGACUCGAACUCGGGACCCUUCCACCCCCAACUUUUCCCUUCUAUUCCUAACCCACCCACUGUGACACUUGUUGACAGGAAGUAGCGCAGGAAGCCUGGCAGAACCACAAACGACGGAACGACUCCGUGAUCGUGGACACUUUUCACGGCCUCUUCAAGUCCACGCUGGUGUGCCCGGACUGUGGCCACGUGUCUGUGACCUUUGACCCCUUCUGCUAUCUCAGCGUCCCACUGCCCGUCUGUCCCAGGAGGGUCUUGGAGGUUUUCUUCGUCCCCAUGGAUCCCCGCCGCAAGCCAGAGCAGCACCGGGUUGUGGUUCCCAAGAAAGGCAACAUUUCUGAUCUGUGUGUGGCCCUGUCCACGCACACAGGUGUUGCACCAGACAAGAUGAUAGUGGCGGAUGUCUUCAGCCACCGAUUCUAUAAGCUCUACCAACUGGAGGAUCCUCUCAGCAGCAUCUUGGAUCGUGACGAUAUCUUUGUGUGAGUGUAAAGACUGAGAGGGGUG